UCCGGGAUCGUCUAAUGGUAGGACAGCAGCCUUUGAAGCUGUAUAUCGGGGUUCGAAUCCCUGUCCCGGAG
rnacentral:tRNA from 2 species